GCCUUCGUGGUGUAAUGGUCAGCACACUCGGCGCGCAUUCAAGAGGUCCGAGGUUCGAGUCCCGGCGAGAGCA
rfam:Stegodyphus mimosarum contig104033, whole genome shotgun sequence.